AUAUAAUAUUGGAUGAUUUACUAUUUAACUCAAAUGGCAUUGAAUAUAUAUGGUAUCAUAUUUUGUAAAGAUGAUAUCACAAUUUAAAUAAAAGGCUAAAAUGAGAAAACCAAUUUCAUUUUGUGCAGAGUCAUUGAAUCUUUUCAUAUUAUAGGUAGCGUAUAAUGAAUACAGUUAAUAAGCAUUUGCAUGCCAAGCUAAGGAUUCUUAUGAAAGGUUACCAUGAAUUUAUGGCAAUUGAUAUUUUUGAUGGCCUGACCUGAUGCCUCCUUCUUAAGCUAAAAUUCCUAGUCAUUUCUUCCAUUGGGGCAACCUCUGAACCACAACCUGCGACAAUCAAAAGAGCAGAUAUCAAUUCAAUCUGUUAAAUAGAGAACCUCAGUAACCUCUAUUGCUCUGCAAACCAAAUAAUGCUGUUGUUCUUCUGUUGUGAAAUUUUUAGGGGAUAACUUCCAACAAGAACGUCCAAUCAUAAUAGUUUUUCUGAAUAUUCUUUGCCAAUGAAUAGCCAUCUACCUUGCCCGCAUUCUCUUUAUUUCCAACAAUAGUUUGACAAGCAAGCCUCCAGGAUUCAGGUUUCUUCUUCAAAAAACGAAGUUCAGUAUUUGUUCUUUCAUUCAAAAGAUCUUUUCCAUCCAGAAUCUCCACAAUGCAAGUUCCACAGCUUCCGCCUCCUCCACAGUUCAUUACUUUGCCAUAUGUGGCGUAAAGCUCAAUCUUAUUGUCCAACAUGAUGUUCCGCAGUAGCUUCUCACCACUUAUUUCUUUAGCUCUGAUCACCGGAUACCUCCUGUCGCCGUCUGGCUUCGGCCCGAUGAAUUGUAGCUCAAUUUCAGGCUUUUCCGGCACAGGAGGUGAGGAUUCCGAUGAGCUUGCAGCGACAGAGACUGAAGCCACGGGUCUCUUUUUUAAAAUAAACGAACUCCGGAAUGUGUUUCCUUUCCCGGAAGAGAGUUCCGGCAGCCACAUUGAUACGGCGGCGAAGUUAAUGGCUGCCAUUAUUUAGUUGGCUUGAUCACUCUCAGCACGAGUCUUUUGAUUUCUUUACCGUUUCCUUUCCAUUUCAAGAGCAGUCCUGAAACUUCCGAAACUUAACUCUGCGUCGAGGGGUAAUUUCGUAAUUCAAUUAUACAAUCCUGUGCUCAAUAUUGAGCCACCUGAGAGCUCCUUUGUGUGCUGAGAAAUGAAUUGCUUCAAGAAAUGGAAAGCUUUGGCUGUUCUCUCCUCAGCCAAUGCUGCAAAGGAAACGACGAGUCGUUUGUUAUCCUUCUCUUCUUCCCCCUCAGACCAAUCUUGUGUCAAGUGGCUACCACUUCCUCACCAGCAUCUCCCCUCUCCAACUUCGUCCCAGAACGCCAACCCUAACUAUUCGCAGCAUGACUUCUCUACUCUCUGCAACCUCCUCAGGAACCCGAACAUCAGUCCCGGACCCUCCCUGGAAGCCGCCUUGGACCGGACGGAAAUCCAACCGGAGUUGAAUCUGUUACUGGCGCUAUUCGAUCAUUUUGAUUCCUCCCCUAAAUUGCUAGAAACUCUGUUUCUCUGGGCGGAGAGGAAACCUGGGUUUCAAUCGUCUGCUAUGCUCUUGAGUUCUGUGGUCAAUGUGCUUGGUAAAGCGAAGGAAUUUGAUUCUGCUUGGUGUUUAGUUCUUGAUCGGAUUGGUGGAGAUAAGGGACCUGUAUUGGUCUCGAUUGACACGUUUGCCAUUCUGAUCAGAAGGUACACUCGGGCAGGAAUGCCGCAAUCUGCAAUUCGGACAUUCGAAUAUGCAAGCAGCGUUAACUUGAUUUGUAAUUCUGAUCCCGGAACAAGCUUGUUGGAAAUUUUAUUGGAUUCCCUUUGCAAAGAAGGGCGGGUUAGGGUGGCUAAAGAAUAUUUUGAUAGAAAAAAGCAACUGGACCCUUGUUGGGCUCCAUCUGUUCGAAUAUAUAAUAUACUGUUAAAUGGAUGGCUUCGAUCAAGAAAGCUCAAACAUGCAGAGAGACUUUGGACGGAGAUGAAGAAGGAGAAUGUGACACCGAGUGUUGUAACAUAUGGUACCAUGGUAGAAGGGUACUGCCGAAUGAGUCGUGUUGAAAGGGCAGUUGAUUUGUUGGAUGAAAUGAGAAGGGAAGGAAUUGAACCAAAUGCAAUAGUGUACAACCCAAUUAUUGAUGCAUUUUCAGAAGCAGGUAGGUUUAAGGAGGCAUCAGGAAUGAUGGAGUACUUGUUGCAAUCUGAAUCAGGCCCCACUAUAUCCACUUAUAAUUCUUUGGUAAAGGGCUACUGUAAGGCCAAAGAUCUUGUAGGUGCUAGUGUUGUCCUUAAAAUGAUGAUUAGUAGGGGUUUUAUCCCAACCCCUACAACCUAUAAUUAUUUCUUUAGGCAUUUUUCAAAAUUUGGGAAGAUUGAGGAAGCGAUGAACCUUUAUGCCAAGAUGAUUGAAUCUGGAUACACCCCUGAUCGGCUUACUUACCAUCUUUUGUUGAAGAUGUUGUGUGAGCAGGAGAGAUUGGAGUUGGCUGUGCAGAUUAGCAAGGAAAUGAGAGCUAGGGGAUGUGAUAUGGACUUAGCAACUAGCACUAUGUUAAUUCAUUUACUUUGCAGAAUGCAUAGAUUUGAAGAGGCAUUUCUGGAGUUUGAGGAUAUGUUACGGAGGGGCAUAGUUCCUCAAUAUCUUACUUUCCAUAGAUUGAAUGAUGAGUUAAGAAAACAGGGAAUGGUUGAGAUGGCACAAAAACUAAGCAAUAUGAUAUCUUCUGUCCCUCAUUCAACAAACUUGCCCAAUACAUAUAGUGUAGAAGGAGAUGCGUCAUGGCGUGCAAGGAGAACAUCUAUAUUGCGGAAAGCAGAAGCAAUGUCUGAAAUACUGAAGACUUGUACUAAUCCAAGAGAGCUUGUUAAGCGCAGAAGCAGACCUGAAAAUCUUGUAUCUGUUGCCAAUCGGUUGAUAGAGGAUAUCAGAGAAAGAGCAAACAAGAAAUGAAUUUACAAAUUGCAAAGGAAACUCUUUAAAGGGAAUACUCAGAGGAAAGUUGGAUCAGUUCUGAAGGUUCUGUGAGGUCUGUGAAUGCUAUGAUCGCCUUCCCUUAAUGCUGCCGCUGUUUAAUUUCCCCUUGUCUCCCAUUUGAGCAUAUUGAAACUUUUCUAGUUUUUAGUGAUAUACUGGUCCAAUUUGCAGCUGGGAGGGAUCUGAGACCUGGACAACUUGGGAAUAUGUGACAAACACUAACAAACGGGUAAGUCUCUGGUUCGAGUAGUAUCUUUAUAUUUUUCUUUUACCUUGUAUGCCUAGCAGCAACAACAACUUGUUACAGACACAAUUCUGUCCUUAGAAACCAUAAUGCUUAUCUGACCUGAAUGUUUGACAUGUCAAAUAAUACCAUAAUUACGUGUUAAAUUGAUUUGAUUUUCAAGUUCUUGGGCAAAUUACCUUUUGUCUCUUUUGCAAUUGUUAGGUUUUCUUAAAUCAAGCUUAUGAGUUCAAGUUAAUUGGUAGUUACUUGAGAUCUAGUAUAUUAUAGUACUCAACUGUAGAUCUUAACACACUGUUAGUAAAACUUGCCUUCUAGUCUCCUAGCUGUUUCGGUUGUUGUUUGUGCACUAUGUAGAUAGAUGACAUCGUUCAAAUAUGUAGAUGCUGGGGGCCUCUGUUUUGUGGAUUGAUUAAAGUUUGUUCGAAUUAGGAAUUCCCAAUAUCCUUGAAUACUGUUGAUCUGGCUAUAAGUUUUCUACAUGAUCUGCAUUGUAUUUUUUAAUUAAUAGCUUCUGCACAUCAGUUGCUGAAUUCUAGGCUUUAUUGCAUUAUUUCUGCAUUUGUCAUCCCAUACUAAAUUUCAAUAAGCUCAGGCUAAGUAUUACUAUUUGCAAGUUUUUGGAAUUGAUCAUCAGGUUGAGCAAUGAGCAUUAUCGUCUCAGAUUUGCAACCAACCUGUGUAAUUCUUAGGUUAUUGUCAUUCACAAAUCUUCUACCUGAGAAACAGUUUUAAUUCAUUUCAAAUUGAACAUCUUAUUAUCUGGCUUGGCGACUUCAUUUAAGAACGUCUUGUUUAAAUUUAUGUUUUAGGAACAUAAAAUCCUUUUUUCCCCUCGAUAUCUGCAGGGGCAGUAUAUUCUGGGGUUGUGGCAAUCAGAGAACACCAGAAGUUUACCCGACAAAUCAAAACCCAGCAUAUUGUCGCAGUUUCUCACUAUAUUUGAUUUGUAAAUUAUUUCAAGCAUGAAGGGAUCAAUGCUCUUUGGUUACAAUUAACACUUUCGCCAGCAAACUACUCGUGUACUGAACUUACUGCUACUUGAUUAUCUUGACAUAGUUGGAACUGUAAUGCAGGAAUUUUCCAUGUAGACUUCUGACUGCCUUUGCAACAAAAUUCUUUUAAGAAGUGGUUCAUUAUUUGAAAUAGAAUUUGGAUGUAAGAAGGGUUCAAUUUUCAGGCGCAGGUGGAAACGCCUCAAAGCAUCAAAGGCGCAAGCCCUCACUCAGGCGUGCCUCAAGGAGCUCAGCCAUAAAACAACCAGAGCUGGGUUAUCAUUUUUACCCACAUGCAUAUAGCAGCAACAAAACCGAAAGGAUAUCUGACCUGGGCCUUCCUGGUCCUCGGCUUCUCAAUCCACCUCGGCUUUUCAAUUCAGGUCUUUAUUUUUAACUUUCUCCAUCCUUCUUUCUUCCUUUUUUCCCUUUACCCUUCUUUCUACUCUUUUUUUAGGUACGCUGCCCAAUUUUUUCAAGGUUCCUGACAGUGAUGCUAUGUGCUUGUGCCUUUCUGCAUGCUAUGUUUUUUUUUUUUUUUAAAUGUUAAAAAUUCCAUAUUGCAGAAUAUCUAGUUUUGGUAAUUAUAAUUUGGGAACAAUAUUUGCUGGCAGUUUCAAUCUAUUAACAUAAAAAAGAAACAAUUUCACUUCUAACUCCAU
rnacentral:misc_RNA from 1 species